rnacentral:rRNA from 1 species
AUUGAACGCUGGCGGCAUGCCUUACACAUGCAAGUCGAACGGCAGCGGACCUUCGGGUGCCGGCGAGUGGCGAACGGGUGAGUAAUGCAUCGGAACGUGCCAUUGAGUGGGGGAUAACGUAGCGAAAGUUACGCUAAUACCGCAUAUUCUGUGAGCAGGAAAGUAGGGGACCGCAAGGCCUUGCGCUCUUUGAGCGGCCGAUGUCAGAUUAGCUAGUUGGUGAGGUAAAGGCUUACCAAGGCGACGAUCUGUAGCGGGUCUGAGAGGAUGAUCCGCCACACUGGAACUGAGACACGGUCCAGACUCCUACGGGAGGCAGCAGUGGGGAAUUUUGGACAAUGGGCGCAAGCCUGAUCCAGCCAUGCCGCGUGAGUGAAGAAGGCCU